rnacentral:tRNA from 1 species
GGGAGUAGAUGGGUGCUGGUGUGCCUCCCGAUCUUCAAAAUCGGUGAUAGGGGUUAGUAGCCUCUUAGGUGGGUUCGAUCCCCACGUACUCCC